GUGGUAAUUCUAGAGCUAAUACAUGCUAAAAACCUCGACUUCGGAAGGGGUGUAUUUAUUAGAUAAAAAACCAAUGCCCUUCGGGGCUCCUUGGUGAUUCAUAAUAACUUAACGAAUCGCAUGGCCUUGCGCCGGCGAUGGUUCAUUCAAAUUUCUGCCCUAUCAACUUUCGAUGGUAGGAUAGUGGCCUACCAUGGUCUCAACGGGUAACGGGGAAUUAGGGUUCUAUUCCGGAGAGGGAGCCUGAGAAACGGCUACCACAUCCAAGGAAGGCAGCAGGCGCGCAAAUUACCCAAUCCCAAUUCGGGGAGGUAGUGACAAUAAAUACUGAUACGGGGCUCUUUCGGGUCUCGUAAUUGGAAUGAGUACAAUCUAAAUCCCUUAACGAGGAACAAUUGGAGGGCAAGUCUGGUGCCAGCAGCCGCGGUAAUUCCAGCUCCAAUAGCGUAUAUUAAAGUUGUUGCCGUUAAAAAGCUCGUAGUUGAACCUUGGACCUGGCUGAUCUGUCCUCCUAAUCGAGCGCACGGAUUCGGUCGGGUCUUUCCUUCUGGGGAACCCUAUGCCCUUCACUGGGUGUAGUGGGGAACCAGGACUUUUACCUUGAAAAAAUUAGAGUGUUCAAAGCAGGCCUUUGCUCGAAUACAUUAGCAUGGAAUAAUAGAAUAGGACAUCGGUUCUAUUUUGUUGGUUUCUAGGACCGCUGUAAUGAUUAAUAGGGAUAGUCGGGGGCGUCAGUAUUCAAUUGUCAGAGGUGAAAUUCUUGGAUUUAUUGAAGACUAACUACUGCGAAAGCAUUCGCCAAGGAUGUUUUCAUUAAUCAGUGAACGAAAGUUAGGGGAUCGAAGACGAUCAGAUACCGUCGUAGUCUUAACCAUAAACUAUGCCGACUAGGGAUCGGACGGUGGUUUUUUUAU
rnacentral:rRNA from 1 species